rnacentral:rRNA from 1 species
AUUGAACGCUGGCGGCAGGCCUAACACAUGCAAGUCGAGCGAGCGGCGGACGGGUGAGUAAGGUCUGGGAAACUGACUGAUGGAGGGGGAGAACUACUGGAAACGGAAGCUAAUACCGCAUACCAUCAGAUGUGCCCAGAUGGGAUUAGCUAGUAGGUGGGGUAACAGCUCACCUAGGCGAAGAUCCCUAGCUGGUCUGAGAGGACGACCAGCCACACUGGAACUGAGACACGGGCCAGACUCCUACGGGAGGCAGCAGUGGGUAAUAUUGCACAAUGGGCGCAAGCCUUAUGCAGCCAUGCCGCGUGUUUGAAGAAGGCCUUCGGGUUGUAAAGCACUUUCAGCGGGGAGGCGUUACCCGCAGAAGAAGCACCGGCUAACUCCGUGCCAGCAGCCGCGGUAAUUC